rnacentral:ncRNA from 1 species
GGCGGAUGCGAAAAUGCCCGAUGCGCAAUCCGGCUAUGAAAAGGGCAGCACGGCGGUGAUGGCGGGCUUGGCGGGGCUGAACAUGGUUUACGA